rnacentral:rRNA from 1 species
CCUACGGGAGGCAGCAGUGGGGAAUAUUGCACAAUGGGCGAAAGCCUGAUGGAGCAACGCCGCGUGGGUGAAGAAGGUCUUCGGAUCGUAAAACCCUGUUGUUAGAGAAGAAAGUGCGUGAGAGUAACUGUUCACGGUUCGACGGUAUCUAACCAGAAAGCCACGGCUAACUACGUGCCAGCAGCCGCGGUAAUACGUAGGUGGCAAGCGUUAUCCGGAUUUAUUGGGCGUAAAGGGAACGCAGGCGGUCUUUUAAGUCUGAUGUGAAAGCCUUCGGCUUAACCGGAGUAGUGCAUUGGAAACUGGGAGACUUGAGUGCAGAAGAGGAGAGUGGAACUCCAUGUGUAGCGGUGAAAUGCGUAGAUAUAUGGAAGAACACCAGUGGCGAAAGCGGCUCUCUGGUCUGUAACUGACGCUGAGGUUCGAAAGCGUGGGUAGCCAACAGGGUUAGAUACCCUGGUAGUC